rnacentral:lncRNA from 1 species
AUGGGGGGUGUACUGGGAGGGGUAUGCAAGGGAGAGAAAGGAAUGGAAACAAAGGGAAGGGAGAUGGGUUGUAUAGUGGGAGUGGAGAGCAAGGGAAUGGAAGGGAAGGGAAAUGGGGGAUGUAGUGGAAAGGGAGAGCAAGGGAAUGGAAGGAAAGUUAAAUGGGGUUGUAGUGGGAAAGGAGAGGAAUGCAGAGGAAGGGUAUUGAAAGGAAUGGAAGGGAAGGGAAAUGGGGGAUGUAGUGGGAAAGGAGAGCAAGGGAAUGGAAGGGAAUGGAAGGGAAGGGAAAAGGGGGGUGUAGUGGGGAGGGAGGGGAAGGGAAGGGAAGGGAAAUGGUGUUGCAGUUGGAAGGGAGAGAAUGGGAAUGGAAGGGAAUGGAAGGGAAGGGAAGGGAAGGGAAGGGAAGGGAAGGGAAGGGAAGG